rnacentral:rRNA from 1 species
AACGUAGGAGGGGGGCGUUAUCCGGAGUGACUGGGCGUAAAGCGCGUGUAGGCGGUCAGGCAAGCUGGGUGUGAAAGCGCCAGGCUCAACCUGGCGAGGCCAUCCAAGACUGCGUGGCUGGAGGCAGGUAGAGGAGUGCGGAAUUCCGGGUGUAGCGGUGAAAUGUGUAGAGAUCCGGAGGAACAUCAGUGGUGCAGACGGCGCUCUGGGCCGGACCUGACGCUGAGACGCGAAAGCGUGGGGAGCGAACGGG